GGUUUGUGGUUCAGUGGUAAAACACUUGCCUAGCAUGUGUGAGGCCCUGGGUUCAAGUCUCAGUACCA
rnacentral:tRNA from 1 species